UACGAAGGGGGCUAGCGUUGCUCGGAAUCACUGGGCGUAAAGGGUGCGUAGGCGGGUCUUUAAGUCAGGGGUGAAAUCCUGGAGCUCAACUCCAGAACUGCCUUUGAUACUGAGGAUCUUGAGUUCGGGAGAGGUGAGUGGAACUGCGAGUGUAGAGGUGAAAUUCGUAGAUAUUCGCAAGAACACCAGUGGCGAAGGCGGCUUUCUGGCCUGUUCUUGACGCUGAGGCGCGAAAGCUAGGGGAGCAAACGGG
rnacentral:rRNA from 1 species